ACAGAAGACUCAGUCGUCAGCCUGCAGCGUCGAUGGAAAGAGGAGGAAUGGAAGGGAAGAAUGAAUAUGAUCUCCAUCAAGAAUGCUACCUCACCAAGUCAAUCACAACUGACCUUUAGAUAAUAGAUUUUAGACCAUUCUUGCCUGCUCUACAUUUAGCCAUGGCGGUGGUUCUUAGAACCAGAAAUAAAACCUCAUUGGCCCUUUUAACUGACCAGUGUGGCCAGUGGUUGGUAAUAGAUUUUAUAGUUUUCUGCUUGGCGUAACUUAGCCAUGGCGAGGGUUCUUAGAACCAGAAAUAAAACCUCAUUGGCCCUUUUAAAUGUCCAGUGUGUGGCCAGUGCUUGGUAAUAGAUUUUAUAGUUUUCUGCCUGGCAUAAUGUAGCCAUGGCGGUGGUUCUUAGAACCAGAAAUAAAACCUCAUUGGCCCUUUUAAAUGACCAGUGUGGCCAGUGCUUGGUAAUAGAUUUUAUAGUUUUCUGCCUGGCGUAACGUAGCCAUGGCGGUGGUUCUUAGACGCAGAAAGCAAACCUCAACGGCCCUUUUUAAGGUUAGCUGUGGCCGUUGAUCUAUAAAAGAGGUUAGGGUUUUCUAGCUUUGCAGAUUGAGCAGAGGAAGAAUAGCACACCUGCUGCCAAAAGUUCCUCGAAAGAGACAAGGCUUGCUGGGCACGACUGAGGAAGAAACAAAAGCAAAAGAAGAAAGAAGAGAGCAUGAAAAUGUCUCCAGCAAAAGCCCUGUUAGCCUUCGGCUGUGAUGGGGCCUCCUACGAUGUGAGGCCUGUGCUCUGCACCACCUUAGAAGACAGAAGACUCAGUCGUCAGCCUGCAGCGUCGAUGGAAAGAGGAGGAAUGGAAGGGAAGAAUGAAUAUGAUCUCCAUCAAGAAUGCUACCUCACCAAGUCAAUCACAACUGACCUUUAGAUAAUAGAUUUUAGACCAUUCUUGCCUGCUCUACAUUUAGCCAUGGCGGUGGUUCUUAGAACCAGAAAUAAAACCUCAUUGGCCCUUUUAAAUGACCAGUGUGGCCAGUGGUUGGUAAUAGAUUUUAUAGUUUUCUGCUUGGCGUAACUUAGCCAUGGCGAGGGUUCUUAGAACCAGAAAUAAAACCUCAUUGGCCCUUUUAAAUGUCCAGUGUGUGGCCAGUGCUUGGUAAUAGAUUUUAUAGUUUUCUGCCUGGCAUAAUGUAGCCAUGGCGGUGGUUCUUAGAACCAGAAAUAAAACCUCAUUGGCCCUUUUAAAUGACCAGUGUGGCCAGUGCUUGGUAAUAGAUUUUAUAGUUUUCUGCCUGGCGUAACGUAGCCAUGGCGGUGGUUCUUAGACGCAGAAAGCAAACCUCAACGGCCCUUUUUAAGGUUAGCUGUGGCCGUUGAUCUAUAAAAGAGGUUAGGGUUUUCUAGCUUUGCAGAUUGAGCAGAGGAAGAAUAGCACACCUGCUGCCAAAAGUUCCUCGAAAGAGACAAGGCUUGCUGGGCACGACUGAGGAAGAAACAAAAGCAAAAGAAGAAAGAAGAGAGCAUGAAAAUGUCUCCAGCAAAAGCCCUGUUAGCCUUCGGCUGUGAUGGGGCCUCCUACGAUGUGAGGCCUGUGCUCUGCACCACCUUAGAAGACAGAAGACUCAGCCGUCAGCCUGCAGCGUCGAUGGAAGGAGGAGGAAUGGAAGGGAAGAAUGAAUAUGAUCUCCAUCAAGAAUGCUACCUCACCAAGUCAAUCACAACUGACCUUUAGAAGAAUUGCUGAAGCUGUAAGAGACUUUCAUUAACACAUCACACUACACAUUUUAAUGCUAUCUGUUGCUGUUGGUGGAUAAUUUCAAAUUUCACACAUGACCAAUGAUGAUCAUUUUCAGUGCAGUCUGUGAAACAAGUGAGUCAAAAGAGAUGCACUAUUCCUGAUUCCACCUGCGCACACAUCUGACCCUCCUGUUUAGGCAUGGACCCUUGGCACUCCAUCAACUCACCUGUGCUCCUGCCACAGGGGUUCUCCUCCAGUUUGAGAUUCAGCUGGGGAUCCU